UACGGGGGGGCAAGCGUUGUUCGGAAUUACUGGGCGUAAAGGGCUCGUAGGCGGCCAACUAAGUCAGACGUGAAAUCCCUCGGCUUAACCGGGGAACUGCGUCUGAUACUGGAUGGCUCGAGUUUGGGAGAGGGAUGCGGAAUUCCAGGUGUAGCGGUGAAAUGCGUAGAUAUCUGGAGGAACACCGGUGGCGAAGGCGGCAUCCUGGACCAACACUGACGUGAUGAGCGAAAGCCAAGGGGAGCAAACGGG
rnacentral:rRNA from 1 species